rnacentral:rRNA from 1 species
UGAGCGUCAGUCUUUGUCCAGGGGGCCGCCUUCGCCACCGGUAUUCCUCCAGAUCUCUACGCAUUUCACCGCUACACCUGGAAUUCUACCCCCCUCUACAAGACUCAAGCUUGCCAGUUUCAAAUGCAGUUCCCAGGUUGAGCCCGGGGAUUUCACAUCUGACUUAACAAACCGCCUGCGUGCGCUUUACGCCCAGUAAUUCCGAUUAACGCUUGCACCCUCCGUAUUACCGCGGCUGCUGGCACGGAGUUAGCCGGUGCUUCUUCUGCGAGUAACGUCAAUCGCUAAGGUUAUUAACCUUAACGCCUUCCUCCUCGCUGAAAGUACUUUACAACCCGAAGGCCUUCUUCAUACACGCGGCAUGGCUGCAUCAGGCUUGCGCCCAUUGUGCAAUAUUCCCCACUGCUGCCUCCCGUAGGAGUCUGGACCGUGUCUCAGUUCCAGUGUGGCUGGUCAUCCUCUCAGACCAGCUAGGGAUCGUCGCCUAGGUGAGCCAUUACCCCACCUACUAGCUAAUCCCAUCUGGGCACAUCUGAUGGCAUGAGGCCCGAAGGUCCCCCACUUUGGUCUUGCGACGUUAUGCGGUAUUAGCUACCGUUUCCAGUAGUUAUCCCCCUCCAUCAGGCAGUUUCCCAGACAUUACUCACCCGUCCGCCGCUCGUCACCCGAGAGCAAGCUCUCUGUGCUAC